UUAUAUUUAUAUAGAGCAGUGGUUCCCAAACUUUUUCAGUCCACCCCCCCUUUGGUGCUACAAACUAAUCCUCUGUGUCCCCCACCCAGGAGUGGGAUUCAAAUUUCUGUGGGCAUGACAUAAUUUGAGGGCGUGGCUUGCUGGUUA